rnacentral:rRNA from 1 species
AGAUUAAGCCAUGCAAGUCUUAGUAUGAACUAAUGAAUAGUGAAACCGCGAAUGGCUCAUUACAACAGCUAUAGUUCACUGGAUAUUUACAUGGAUAACUGUGGUAAUUCUACAGCUAAUACACGCUUCAAAACCCCAACUUUACGAAGGGGUGCGUUAGUUAAUUCAAAUCAAUCAGACUUCGGCCAAGUGAAAUUGAACUAUUUAGCUGAUCGCACGGUCUAAGAACCGGCGACAUAUCCUUCUCUGCCUUAUCAACUGUCGAUGGUAGAUUAUGCGCCUACCAUGGUUGUAACGGGUAACGGAGAAUCAGGGUUUGAUUCCGGAGAGGGAGCCUGAGAAAUGGCUACCACAUCCAAGGAAG